rnacentral:tRNA from 1 species
AAAGGGAGACCUAAUUCAGGUAAAAGACGAAAAAAAAGUAGUCGCUACCAAGAAUCAAUCCCAAAAGGUCGGAGCGAGGCGAAAUUGGCUUUCAAACUAGGUUCUGGGUUCAAACAAGACCUGAAUCAGGAACAAGGGCUAUUAGCUCAGGUGGUUAGAGCGCACCCCUGAUAAGGGUGAGGUCCCUGGUUCGAGUCCAGGAUGGCCCACCUGCACAGGUGGCAAAAACAAGAGAAGCGAGGAAUCAGCACCUUAUCUUACUUAUAUAGUAAGAGAGUAUGCUGGCUCUGAGUAAAGAGUCCAGAGGAACCUUGAAAACUGCAUAGAGCUAGGUGAAAAAGCCAAAAAAGAAGACCGCAAG